rnacentral:lncRNA from 1 species
UUCAUAUCUACGUCUCAAAUUUGUCUUACAACAAAAACUCUCAUAGCAACAUGUUCAUCACCACCAUCUUCCCGACGCCAAUCCGUCGCAAAGUAUCAUUCCGGCGACGGAGGCCGCCAUCAGUUCGCUUAGGAGGUAAGAAACUCGGUCGCAGGUUCAAUCUAGUGAGACUUUUGAAACGAGUAAAACUGCGAUGGAUGAAACUCAAAUACUCGCGUUUGCUUAAAAAGCUCAAAGAAUAUUAUCGUUGUCUCGUGGAGAACCUCAGUAGUGCGGAGGCAUACCAUCAGAGAAUGCUUUUAGAGACAUCUUUUGCCAUUCCUGUCAUGGGGCUUUCCUUCAAUUCCUAUCCCAGCAAUUUAGUCACAUUUUAAGGUAUAUUUCAAAUCGUUAUUCGCACUGUAAUACAAGUUUCUUCUCCUUCAGUUUGAUUUAAG